rnacentral:rRNA from 1 species
GACGAACGCUGGCGGCGUGCUUAACACAUGCAAGUCGAGCGGUAAGGCCCUUUCGGGGGUACGACGAGCGGUGAACGGGUGAGUAACACGUGGGUGACCUGCCCUUAGCUCUGGGAUAAGCCUGGGAAACUGGGUCUAAUACCGGAUAUGACUCCAUGACGCAUGUUGUGGGGUGGAAAGCCUUGUGCGGCUAGGGAUGGGCCCGCGGCCUAUCAGCUUGUUGGUGGGGUGANGGCCUACCAAGGCGACGACGGGUAGCCGGCCUGAGAGGGCGACCGGCCACACUGGGACUGAGACACGGCCCAGACUCCUACGGGAGGCAGCAGUGGGGAAUCUUGCGCAAUGGGCGAAAGCCUGACGCAGCGACGCCGCGUGGGGA